rnacentral:lncRNA from 1 species
GGGCCAUGGUGGAGUUCUGCUGUCUCCAGAUUCCAGGAAUUCUCUUGUAUUCCAUCAUCAUAUACCAGACUGAGGAUAAGAGGCACAGAAUUGCAGCCGUGGUCUUCUUCACCAAGCAGGAAUAAGAGGCUCCCGGAAAACCCUGGCUCUUGGCUAUCUCUUCCAUGAGCACACCCUCGCCCUGGGGCCUGAGAUCUCUCCAUGCAGAGGCAGCCAUGAACUGCGGGGGCAGCAGCAAGGCUGGCCACACCACCCACCCCGCCACCUCCGGCCCCGCCGCUCAACCAGCCAUCAGUCCCUUAACUGCCAGUGUUCGUGGACCAUGCAAAACAACCAACAGAUCCCAGCCAGCCUAGAAGCAGGCUCACGGUUUUCCAUGGAGGGCUUGGAUAGUAAACUGAUCCUGGAUGUUGGCGGCAUAUGCCACCUGAUCUACAUCAGCACCAUGAGGGCCUUUCCAGGAGGAAGAGAAGGGACCCUCUCAGGUCUAACUUCAAAUCAAGCCACUGGGUUGUCUGAGGAAGUAUCCCAAGCAACUAGUCUGGACUGGGAGGUUGAAUUGAGCCCUUGCUGUUGCUGAAGCUGUGAGAAUAAUUCUGUUUACAAAACUUUUAAAUAAAAUAUCCUUCAAAAUAUCCUUCA